UAGUAGUAGUUCUAUAAAACAAAACCAAUUUAUUUUGGCGGCAUUUUAUUUUAUUAGAGGAACCUGUUAAUUAAUCGAUAAUCCACGAUAAAUUUCACUAUAUUACAAAAUUUAUAUACCGCCAUCUAAAAGAAAUAAUUAAUAAAUUUAUUCUAAAUAACAUAUAAAAAGUUAGGUCAAGGUGUAAUUCACAAUACAGACAAUAAUGGGUUACAUUAAAAAAUAUUUAAAAAAUAUAUUACUAAAAUAUCUUACAAAUUAGGAUUUAAAAGUAUAAUUUAAAAUAAUAAUUUUAAUAGAAAAAAAUAACAAAUGUGC
rnacentral:rRNA from 1 species